GAACCCCGGCGAGGGGAGUGAAAAAGAACCUGAAACCGUGUACGUACAAGCAGUGGGAGCCUCUUUAUGGGGUGACUGCGUACCUUUUGUAUAAUGGGUCAGCGACUUAUAUUCUGUAGCAAGGUUAACCGAAUAGGGGAGCCGAAGGGAAACCGAGUCUUAACUGGGCGUUAAGUUGCAGGGUAUAGACCCGAAACCCGGUGAUCUAGCCAUGGGCAGGUUGAAGGUUGGGUAACACUAACUGGAGGACCGAACCGACUAAUGUUGAAAAAUUAGCGGAUGACUUGUGGCUGGGGGUGAAAGGCCAAUCAAACCGGGAGAUAGCUGGUUCUCCCCGAAAGCUAUUUAGGUAGCGCCUCGUGAAUUCAUCUCCGGGGGUAGAGCACUGUUUCGGCAAGGGGGUCAUCCCGACUUACCAACCCGAUGCAAACUGCGAAUACCGGAGAAUGUUAUCACGGGAGACACACGGCGGGUGCUAACGUCCGUCGUGAAGAGGGAAACAACCCAGACCGCCAGCUAAGGUCCCAAAGUCAUGGUUAAGUGGGAAACGAUGUGGGAAGGCCCAGACAGCCAGGAUGUUGGCUUAGAAGCAGCCAUCAUUUAAAGAAAGCGUAAUAGCUCACUGGUCGAGUCGGCCUGCGCG
rnacentral:rRNA from 1 species